CCUCCCUGCCUCCUUCCGCGGGAGCGGCCGGCAGCGGUGCCGCCCCUCCCUUCCCCGCUUUCUCCCCUCCCCCUCCACACCUUCUACCGCAGGGGUUCUUCCACAAAUCACACCAUCCCCAGAGCCGGCGUGCACCCGCCACCUCCUCCCAUGGAUCUACAUGCAUCCUGGUCAAUGAGGGCAAAUGGUUCCAACGGUGAAGCUCGACCUUCUAGAUCCAUGGCAGCAGCUAUGAGGGCUGGCCUUAGAAGCAGAGCUCCAGCUGCCGCCUUCCCAUGCUCUUCGUCGAUCUGCCCCGCGGCCGCGCCGGAUGGUGCCGCCUUGCUUUCUCUCCUUUUUUCCCUCCUUACCCUCACUCCAUCUCUCUCGUGUUGUAGGUGAAGCCAUGGCCAUUUGAGAAAUCUUGUCCACCCGCUGCUGCUCUGGAUUCGGCCGUCACCAUGGUUUCUUGUGUUGGAUCCAGCCACCGUCAGCCAGAUCCGAUGCCCACCUAGCUGCCCGGACAAUUUCUGCCACCUCCCCGUGUCCCGCAGCAACGGGAGACACCGCCAUGCUCCCAUCUUCCGCCCCUGCAUCAGCAGCUGCUCAGGGCGUCGUCCCCCAAAUGCAGCUCGGUUGCCGCUCCCCGUGCAGCUCGGGUGCUGCCUUCUCUCCUUUCUUCUCGCCAUGCCGCUUGGGGAGGAAAGGAGCGAUGGCGGAGGAGCGCACUCAUGGCGGGGGCAGAAAGGAACAGGUGCAGUUCACCCCACCGAAGGAGGCAAGGAGCGCGAGCGAGCUCCCUCGCCCGAUGCCGGCGAUUUUGGCUUCCUCGUGCAGUUCAACAGGGCCACCAAUGGGCUUCCCGCGACGGCCAGCUGCAGGCAGUUUGGCCAGCAGCGACGGCCACCACUCUGCUCUCUCCCCCUUAUCCACAUUUGUUCAUUCACACAGCAGUCCGGCAGCUCCACCAGCGGCAUGUGCAGUUCACUCCAUGUGAGCUCAGAGAUGCUCGCGAUGCCGUUCGGAGGUUGUGUGCGUGCAGUACGGCGAGCACCAUCUCUUCCCAUUGGUAGGUGAACCAUGGUGGUGCCGCUCGGAGAUGCUCGCCAUGCGGUUUGGGGCUUGUGUGCGUGCAGUUGAGAGAGCGCCAUCUCCAUCUCUUCCCCUGUGGUCCAUCGACCAUGAUUCUGCAGCUCAGAGGCGCUCGCCAUGCGGUGCAAGGCUCAUGCGUUUGCACUCCGGCAAGGGCGCCAACCAUGACAUGCAGUUUUGGCGACUCUUGCAUGCGGUUCAGGGCUCGUUCGCGUGCAAUCGACGAGCGUCCGUGCACGUCUAAGUGCAGCGAGCGUCCAUACACAAUAGCGCUCUACCACAACAUUCAGAUAAAGACGAUUGCCCUAGUUUGGAAAAUAGAUAGCUCUAGAAUCUACUCCUCGCAAUCGUUAUAUGCUGCUCUUAACUUGUGUGUGUGUGUUGUUAUGCUUGUCUUUAGCUCGACUCUAUGGCAGCUUCAUGACCCCCCUAGGUUGCAUGUGUUCCUCUUGCUCUAGCUGGUAGUAGCUCAUAAUAUUAUUUUGAAAAAACUUGACAAUCUUGUAAAAGAAAAAGUAUGUCUGACACUUUGUGUUUGUUGUGCUCUAGAUAAGAACAUUGCACAUUUUUUAUGUAACAGAGAUUUCCAGAAUAAUCUAGGAUAAACUA